rnacentral:rRNA from 1 species
UACCAGCACCCCGAGUGGUCGGGACGUUUAUUGGGGCCUAAAGCAUCCGUAGCCGGUUCUACAAGUCUUCCGUUAAAUCCAACUGCUUAACAGGUGGGCUGCGGAAGAUACUAUAGAGCUAGGAGGCGGGAGAGGCAAGCGGUACUCGAUGGGUAGGGGUAAAAUCCGUUGAUCCAUUGAAGACCACCAGUGGCGAAGGCGGCUUGCCAGAACGCGCUCGACGGUGAGGGAUGAAAGCUGGGGGAGCAAACCGGGAUUAAGCAA